rnacentral:rRNA from 1 species
GGAUGCGAUCAUACCAGCACUAAAGCACCGGAUCCCAUCAGAACUCCGAAGUUAAGCGUGCUUGGGCGAGAGUAGUACUUGGAUGGGUGACCUCCUGGGAAGUCCUUGUGUUGCAUUCC